GUCGAGUAAUUUAUCGAACCUUAAAAUUUGCUCAUAUUUGAAUUGUUUAUAUUCCGAGUCGAACUCAAAUCGAACUUUUAGUUUAGCGAGUACAAAUCAAACCCGAAGCGUUUCGUUUUACAACCUUAGCCAUAUAUACGAAUUAGCCUCACACGUACAAUUCAAAUCAUUUUUUUCAUUCAAUUCUCUAACUAACACACUCCUUAAUUUCUCCUUGAUAUAUCAAUCUUGCUUUCUCUUUCCGCUAUCUUUUGGCUUCACUUUACGAUAGUACAAGUCCAAAUGCAUUGGAUACAAUAAGAACUGUCUCUCUUAUAAAUGUGAUAAGGGAUUUCACAUGAGCAUUAGAACCCUCGUAUUGCCCUAGCUGGAUGAAGAGAUACUCCUGUGUUAUAAAUGUGAUAAGAGAUUUCACAUGCUAUGUGUCCGACCCAUCGUGGUUUAGGACACUGGUAUUGCCCUAGCUGCUCCGGUCAAUCCUGUCCCAUCAAAAGUAUGAUAUUUAGUCCUUUUACAAUAGGAAGCUAGGAAGCAUAUAUUUUUGUGCAUUUAUUCUUUUAUCAAUUAUUGAAAUUAAAAACUUUAUGAUUCCUGUCUGUAACUCUGUAUGAAUGAACUAUAUAUUAAAUAAUGUAGAUAAUGUAUCAGUAUUUUGAUGUCAUUAGCACCUCCAAAUGCCAUUUUCAUGUAUGCAAGUAAAAGUGAGUAAUAGUAUAAUAGUAGAGGAAAUAAUAAUUAUUUACGUCAAAGUAAGCACUUAAAAGAAGUAAAAAAAGUAACAUUUUCAUUUAUGCAGGUAGUAGUUCAACACAUUCAUACCUUCUUACUUGAUCUUUAAUUUUCUCAUAGGAUACUCAUAGGUAAAAUUACUAAAAAGUGAUAAAAGCGGGAGGAUUAAAUGUAUAUCAAAUUUUGUGGAACAAAGUUGAAACCAUAAUGCAUUCGCUUAUUACCUGAAACCAAUGUGCUAAUUUGAAAUGCCAUGAACAACGACCUCAUUUUCAACUUCUUGGAUAUCAUCAUUUCGUAUAAAGAUUUUAACAUGUCAUGCUGCAUGUCAAAUAAAAAUAGAGUACACACAAGAAAGAGAUCAAAUCAUUUAUUUUCUUCACACAUACAUUUCAAAACAUAUGCAGUAUAGCUACAUCUAUUGGAGCAAGAUCUUCACAUAUUUAAGAUAUAUUCACAUUACUUAAUGCUAAUGUAUUGAUGUUCAUGUGCCUAAUGGAUUAGUUUUACAAAGUUUUUCCGUCAGAAGGUGUUGUAGUCUAGUAUAAAAACCCAAAUUAUCAUUUCUAUUUUUCUUAAUUGGCUAACACUUGGUUCGUCAUUUGAUAAUGUUAUAUCCUCUACACCAUCUUGAUAAUAAUUAAUUUUAAUUAGAAAACAAGAAACAAAAUCAACACGACAAAGAAUAUCUUGGUAUAAAUUAAUUUUAAUUUAAAAAUUGAAUGGAAGAGAAUCCAAUAGAAUUUUUUUAAAAUGUGGAGUGAUUAACAUAAAGGAGAAGGGAUUAAUGCAAUAGAAUCUCAUUUGUUUAGAUGUACAAAAAUUCUUGCAGUAAUUCAGCCAUCUCUAAAAAUUGAGAUCGAAUAAUUAUACAAGACUAUCUAAUGUGGAUAUGAAAUUAAUUUAAAUAUAAUUAAUUUAAUUAUACAAGACCAUCAUUUGUUUGAUUUAUGAGCAAAAGUAGAAUUCAGAAAUUUACCUGAUAAUCAAAGAGAUUAGCAUCUGAGGAGAUCUGAGUGAAUGAAUGCCAGCGGCCGUGAGGAAUGAGGUAGUGAGAUCUAAUGGUAUGCUUUUAUACUGAUCAAAUUAGGGUUUUUGUGCUUUUAUACUGAUGAAAUGAAAUUAAA
rnacentral:lncRNA from 1 species